CCGUCGCUUUUCUGGCCGAAGGCCAAUGUUUCUAAACUGAAUGUAAACAAAGAAAACUGCAAACACCAGAGGAGGGCCUUCCACCGCCGCCAAGGCUGGGGGGACGUGUUCCCAAAGGGGUGCCGAGCUUUGCCCACGCUUCGUUUCCCUCCGGGUCCUGAACGCCCACGGUCACCCCGGCCACCGCCCUCGGGAGCCGCGGGACGGGGGAGAACUUUCUGCCGGUGGGGACUGCGCAGGGUAGCAAGCCUGGAGAAAAACCAAAACAAGUGUGCUUCUUUUUGUUGUUGGUUUUUUUUGUUUCCUUUCAACUUGCUUUUGGGGUGUUUUUUGUUGUUGUUGUUGUUGUUAUUGCUGCUGUGUUUGUUUGUUUGUUGGCUUGGUGGGGUUUUUUUUGUUUGGUUUUUUUUUUUUUUUUUUUUUUUCUUGAGAGCGAGGGCUCGUCCCUCCCGCCCCGGGAGGCAAAGCCGCUGUGCCCCGGGCGGAGACCGGGCUUGUCCGAGCCUGCCGAGCGCUCCCGGCUCCAGCCAUGGGGCUCCGUGGAGCUGCUGGUGCUAUUACUUAUAACAUGCUCGGGAAAACAUCCACGGGGCUCCUGCUCUGUUGAGCAAAUCUUUCUAUACUUAGACGGGAAAAUCCUUCCUUGCUGUCACACAGGCCGGUGGGUUGUCACUGCGGGGUUAGAGGGGGGCUGGAGGGAAGGAGGAAGGCUGAAGACGUGCGUGACCGUGACAUCGGCUGUGUGAUCGCCCUAAAAAUACUCAUGAUGGACCCGCGGGCGAUUCUUGCCAAGCAGAAACACAACCGUCGAACCGGGCGACGUUUAGGGGGUUUUCUCCCGCUCCUUGUUUUCGUGAGUUCUAUGGGGGGAUGAGUUCUCUUCUUAGGCUUCGGACAACAGAUGCCUUCACGAUGAUGAUUUUCUAGGGGAGAGUGCUAUUCCCUCGGAAUUCUCCCCCUCCUGCUCUGCCCAACCUACGCACGGUGGAGCUUGUGGUGGAGCUCCCUGCGGAGCGGGGAGCGCAGCUACUUCGCCGCCAGAUCUCCGUCCCACAUCGCUGCUCUUGCGACAGAACACGGUGCUUGCUCAUCUUCCGUGGGCUCUCCGUGGGGACUGCGGCUACUCUUUGCUCCUUCUGCUGUGGUUACAGAAAAGAAAAGAAAAAAAAAAAAAAAAAAAAAAAGAAAAAGGAAUGGGGAAAGAAAAAAAAAUUAACGAAAAUUACGUAGUUCGAAGACGGAUGGUGUUGAGUGUUGGAUUGUUUUUUUGCGUACAAAACCCGUGGCACGAGUGAGCUCUUUUAACACCCUUUUAACUGAUGGUGUAAAAACUGACUGGUGGUGGAAAGUAGUAAAUAGUGGAAAUAAAGGAUAGAUCCAAACUGUGAA